rnacentral:rRNA from 1 species
GACGAACGCUGGCGGCGCGCUUAACACAUGCAAGUCGAGCGAGAACCGGGCCUUCGGGCCCGGGGACAGCGGCGAACGGGUGAGUAUCACGUGGGUAACCUGCCCUCGGCACCGGGAUAGCCCGGGGAAACCCGGAUUAAUACCGGACAGACUCCGAAGCCUACGGGCGUCGGAGAAAAGGUGGCUUCGGCUUCCGGCUGAGGAGGGGCCUGCGGCGGAUUAGCUUGUUGGUGGGGUAAUGGCUCACCAAGGCGACGAUCCGUAGCUGGUCUGGGAGGAGAAUCAGCCACACUGGGACGGAGACACGGCCCAGACUCCUGCGGGAGGCAGCAGUGGGGAAUCUUGCGCAAUGGGCGAAAGCCUGACGCAGCGACGCCGCGUGCGGGAAGAAGGCCUUCGGGUUGUAAACCGCUUUCAGGAGGGACGAAGCCACUCGGGUUAAUAGCCCAGAGGGUGACGGUACCUCCAGAAGAAGCCCCGGCUAACUACGUGCCAGCAGCCGCGGUAACAC